rnacentral:rRNA from 1 species
AUGUCCCGUUAUCGAGGACCUCGUUUAAAAAAAUACGCCGUCUGGGAGCUUUACCAGGACUCACUAGAAAAACACCUAAAUCCAGAAGUAAUCUUAAAAAAAAUUCAAUUCUGGAAAAAGGAGCAAUAUCGUAUUCGUCUUCAAGAAAAACAGAAAUUGCGUUUUCAUUAUGGUCUGACAGAACGACAAUUACUUAGAUAUGUACAUAUCGCUGGAAAAGCAAAAAGGUCAACAGGCCAGGUUUUACUACAAUUACUUGAAAUGCAUUUGGAUAAUAUCCUUUUUCGAUUGGGUAUGGCUUCAACCAUUCCUGGGGCCCGCCAAUUAGUCAACCAUAGACAUAUUUUAGUUAAUGGUCGUAUAGUCAAUAUACCAAGUUUUCGUUGCAAACCCCGAGAUAUUAUUACUACGAAAGAUAACCAAAGAUCAAAAGGUCUGGUUCAAAAUUAUAUUGCUUCAUCGGACCCGGGGAAAUUGCCAAAGUAUUUGGCGAUUGACACGUUGGAAUAUAAAGGACUAGUAAAUAAAAUCCUAGAUAGGAAGUGGGUCGGUCUCAAAAUAAAUGAGUUGCUACUUGUAGAAUAUUACUCUCGUCAGACUUGA